UGCAUAUACAUCAAUGAAAACCAGAAGAACGAAUAGAUUAAACACACGGAGAUGAAGAUGGAGAUUAUACCAGCAUACUUUCCUCUGUAGCAAGACAUGGUGGAUGAAUCUGAGAUCUGAAAAAAAGAGGCAUGCAGAGAAAGAAAUUAUAGAGAAAGGAGAUUGUAAGAGUCAAUGAUGGGGAGUGAGGGUUAAUAUAGAAGAGAUUGUUGAGACAUCAGUUUCAUCGCCCCCAAUAAAAGAAACAGGUCAAGAUCUGAAAGCAGAUCUGAAACGGGUAAGACCGAGAACCUGUUACACCGGAAUGGUUUAAGCAGUGGAGGAUGGUGAUGGCAGAAUGGUGGUGCUACCAGGCACAUAACAGGCCAAUACUUUUCUGGCAGUCAAAUCGAUAUCGGCGACCACUGCUUUGAGAUCUGUAAACUAGGGUUUUUCAAGGUCAGCAAAGAUGAUCGAUUCUUGAGAAUCAAACGACGAAAUAAUUUGUUUUGGGUGAAUGAAUUAUAUUGAAGUAUUUGAAUUUCAUCUUGUUGAUAAGUGCAGAAUUAAUUCGAUGAUUUUGAAGAUCUGAAUUGUUGUUCCAAAGUUCAUGUUUAUGGAUUAAUAAAUAGAUAAAUUUAUAUUUUAUUAUAGUU
rnacentral:lncRNA from 1 species